GUUGGCUCCGGCAGAACAUAAACUAAAAUUGGAACAGUACAGAGAAGGUUCACGUGGCCCCGGCGUGAUGAUGACACGUAAAUUCAUGAAACAUUCCAUAUUUAG